rnacentral:rRNA from 1 species
GACGGAGGAUGCAAGUGUUAUCCGGAAUCACUGGGCGUAAAGCGUCUGUAGGCGGUCAAAUAAGUCAACUGUUAAAUCUUGAGGCUCAACCUCAAAAUCGCAGUCGAAACUAUUAGACUAGAGUAUAGUAGGGGUAAAGGGAAUUUCCAGUGGAGCGGUGAAAUGCGUAGAGAUCGGAAAGAACACCAACGGCGAAAGCACUCUGCUGGGCCGACACUGACACUGAGAGACGAAAGCUAGGGGAGCGAAUGGG